rnacentral:rRNA from 1 species
CACGUAGGGGACGAGCGUUGUCCGGAUUCAUUGGGCGUAAAGCGCGCGUAGGCGGCUCGGAAAGUCGGGCGUGAAAUGCCGGGGCUCAACCCCGGGACUGCGUCCGAUACUUCCGAGCUGGAGGUAGGUAGGGGCAGAGGGAAUUUCCGGUGGAGCGGUGAAAUGCAUUGAGAUCGGAAAGAACACCAACGGCGAAAGCACUCUGCUGGGCCGACACUGACACUGAGAGACGAAAGCUAGGGGAGCAAACGGG